rnacentral:rRNA from 1 species
AUUGAACGCUGGCGGCAGGCCUAACACAUGCAAGUCGAGCGGAUGAAGGGAGCUUGCUCCUGGAUUCAGCGGCGGACGGGUGAGUAAUGCCUAGGAAUCUGCCUGGUAGUGGGGGAUAACGUCCGGAAACGGGCGCUAAUACCGCAUACGUCCUGAGGGAGAAAGUGGGGGAUCUUCGGACCUCACGCUAUCAGAUGAGCCUAGGUCGGAUUAGCUAGUUGGUGGGGUAAAGGCCUACCAAGGCGACGAUCCGUAACUGGUCUGAGAGGAUGAUCAGUCACACUGGAACUGAGACACGGUCCAGAGUCCUACGGGAGGCAGCAGUGGGGAAUGUUGGACAAUGGGCGAAAGCCUGAUCCAGCCAUGCCGCGUGUGUGAAGAAGGUCUUCGGAUUGUAAAGCACUUUAAGUUGGGAGGAAGGGCAGUAAGUUAAUACCUUGCUGUUUUGACGUUACCAACAGAAUAAGCACCGGCUAACUUCGUG